rnacentral:rRNA from 1 species
GACGAACGCUGGCGGCGUGCUUAACACAUGCAAGUCGAACGGAAAGGCCCUGCUUUUGUGGGGUGCUCGAGUGGCGAACGGGUGAGUAACACGUGAGUAACCUGCCCUUGACUUUGGGAUAACUUCAGGAAACUGGGGCUAAUACCGGAUAGGAGCUCCUGCUGCAUGGUGGGGGUUGGAAAGUUUCGGCGGUUGGGGAUGGACUCGCGGCUUAUCAGCUUGUUGGUGGGGUAGUGGCUUACCAAGGCGUUGACGGGUAGCCGGCCUGAGAGGGUGACCGGCCACAUUGGGACUGAGAUACGGCCCAGACUCCUACGGGAGGCAACAGUGGGGUAGAUUGCACAGUGGGCGGAGGGCAGGUGCAGCAAAGCCGCGUGGGGGAUGACGGCCAUCGGGUUGUAAACCGCUUUCGCCUGUGACGAAGCGUGAAUGACGGUAAUGGGUAAAGAAGCUCCGGCUAACUACGUG